CAAAAUUACAAUUAUACCCUU
rnacentral:snRNA from 1 species